AGAAUUUUUGUUGGCUUGGGGGAAAAAAGAUGUUUUUCAAGUUUCCUAUAUUAAUAACACCUUGAAAAUUUGGGACAAAUGACAACUUGUCAUCCAUGGAACUCAAGAUGCUGCCAUUACAAGGUGCAGGUUCUGCUCUAAACCGAAGAGGGAUCUCAAGGAGGGCAGUUCUGCACCACCAAGUGAGUGACUAUUCACAGAAUCUAUGGAACACUCAUUUCAUCAGAAGGACUCAGUGGAUAGAAUCAAUCGGCAUGUAGCAGAGCUGAGCCCUUUAUCUGCUCAAGGCUCCCCUCCCACCCCCAUGCUCCCUGGCUCGCCCCCAUCAUCCCUCAUUGCUCAGGUUUUGUGGUUGUUGUUCUUUCCCUCGUGUGAAACGAGAAAUGCUGUUUGAAUAACCGGUGGUGAGGGAGGCAGUGCAGACUCCAAUGCAGAAAUAAAAACCUUCAGAAAGAUGCAA